GAUGAAGAACGUAGUAAAAUGCGAUAAUUAAUGUGAAUUGCAGAAUUCCGUGAAUCAUCGAAUCUUUGAACGCACAUUGCGCCCCCUGGCAUUCCGGGGGGCAUGCCUGUCCGAGCGUCAUUUCUGCCCUCAAGCACGGCUUGUGUGUUGGGUGUGGUCCCCCCGGGGACCUGCCCGAAAGGCAGCGGCGACGUCCGUCUGGUCCUCGAGCGUAUGGGGCUCUGUCACUCGCUCGGGAAGGACCUGCGGGGGUUGGUCACCACUAUAUUUUACCACGGUUGACAUCGGAUCAGGUAGGAGUUACCCGCUGAACUUAAGCAUAUCAAUAAGCGGAGGA
rnacentral:misc_RNA from 1 species